GAGCACUGUUUCGGCAAGGGGGUCAUCCCGACUUACCAACCCGAUGCAAACUGCGAAUACCGGAGAAUGUUAUCACGGGAGACACACGGCGGGUGCUAACGUCCGUCGUGAAGAGGGAAACAACCCAGACCGCCAGCUAAGGUCCCAAAGUCAUGGUUAAGUGGGAAACGAUGUGGGAAGGCCCAGACAGCCAGGAUGUUGGCUUAGAAGCAGCCAUCAUUUAAAGAAAGCGUAAUAGCUCACUGGUCGAGUCGGCCUGCGCGGAAGAUGUAACGGGGCUAAACCAUGCACCGAAGCUGCGGCAGCGACGCUGAUGCGUUGUUGGGUAGGGGAGCGUUCUGUAAGCCUGUGAAGGUGUGCUGUGAGGCAUGCUGGAGGUAUCAGAAGUGCGAAUGCUGACAUAAGUAACGAUAAAGCGGGUGAAAAGCCCGCUCGCCGGAAGACCAAGGGUUCCUGUCCAACGUUAAUCGGGGCAGGGUGAGUCGACCCCUAAGGCGAGGCCGAAAGGCGUAGUCGAUGGGAAACAGGUUAAUAUUCCUGUACUUGGUGUUACUG
rnacentral:rRNA from 1 species